rnacentral:rRNA from 1 species
CACGGAGUUAGCUGAUGCUUUUUCUUCGGAUACACGCAGUCCGGGACACGUCCCGGGUUUUGUUCUCCGACAAAAGAGGUUUACAACCCAUAGGGCCGUCUUCCCUCACGCGGCUUGGCUGGUUCAGGAUCUCUCCCAUUGACCAAUAUUCCUCACUGCUGCCUCCCGUAGGAGUCUGGUCCGUGUCUCAGUACCAGUGUGGGGGACCUUCCUCUCAGAACCCCUACGCAUCGUCGCCACGGUGGGCCGUUACCCCGCCGUCAAGCUAAUGCGCCGCAUGCCCAUCCUCUUCCGAUGAAUCUUUCCUCGAUCUCGGAUGCCCGAAACCGAUAUACGCGGGAUUAGCCUCCCUUUCGGAAGGUUGUCCCCCUGAAGAGGGCAGGUUGCAUACGUGUUACUCACCCGUGCGCCGGUCGCCGGCAAGGAAAGCAAGCUUCCCUCCCGAUGCCCCUCGACUUGCAUGUGUUAAGCCUGCCGCUAGCGUUCAUCCUGAGCCAGGAUCAAACUCU